UGGCUCAGUUGGUAGAGCAUGGUGGUGCAACGCCAGGGUUGUGGGUUCGAUUCCCAC
rnacentral:tRNA from 1 species